rnacentral:rRNA from 1 species
AAGCUUGCUUCAAUUGCCGGCGACCGGCGCACGGGUGAGUAACGCGUAUCCCACCUUCCGCUUACUCGGGGAUAGCCUUUCGGAAGAAAGAUUAAUACCCGAUGGUAUCUUAAGCACGCAUGAGAUUAAGAUUAAAGAUUUAUCGGUAAGCGAUGGGGAUGCGUUCCAUUAGGCAGUUGGCGGGGUAACGGCCCACCAAACCUACGAUGGAUAGGGGUUCUGAGAGGAAGGUCCCCCACAUUGGAACUGAGACACGGUCCAAACUCCUACGGGAGGCAGCAGUGAGGAAUAUUGGUCAAUGGGCGAGAGCCUGAACCAGCCAAGUAGCGUGAAGGAUGACGGCCCUACGGGUUGUAAACUUCUUUUGUGCGGGAAUAAAGGAGCCUACGUGUAGGCUUUUGCAUGUACCGUAACGAAUAAGCAUCGGCUAACUCCGUGCCAGCAGCCGCGGUAAUACGGAGGAUGCAAGCGUUAUCCGGAUUUAUUGGGUUUAAAGGGAGCGUAGACGGGUUUUUAAGUCAGCUGUGAAAGUUUGGGGCUCAACCUUAAAAUUGCAGUUGAAACUGGAGACCUUGAGUACGGUUGAGGCAGGCGGAAUUCGUGGUGUAGCGGUGAAAUGCUUAGAUAUCACGAAGAACUCCGAUUG